rnacentral:rRNA from 1 species
UACGUAGGCAGCAAGCGUUGUUCGGAGUUACUGGGCGUAAAGCGUCCGCAGGUGGUUGUGCAAGUCUGCCGUUAAAGCCAGUGGCUUAACUACUGAAAGGCGGUGGAAACUGCACGACUAGAGUGUGGUAGGGGCAGAGGGAAUUCCCGGUGUAGCGGUGAAAUGCGUAGAGAUCGGGAAGAACACCAGUGGCGAAAGCGCUCUGCUGGACCGCAACUGACACUCAUGGACGAAAGCUAGGGGAGCGAAUGGG